AUUGCAUAAUGCAGUAGCCACUGGAUUUGCAGCAGAAACACUCUGCUACAGAACAAGUGUCUUGGUUCACAGCAAAGAGGACAAAGAAAACAGCAAGUUUUAGGGGGUUGAAUCCUGGAUUCCCCUGGCAAACACCAUUCUACUUUCCGUCUCUAUGAAUUUGACUACUCGAAGUACCUCAUGUGAAAUGUUGGUGCCAAAUGAACUUUUCUGGUUCUUCUGAAUAUGCCACUGUUGCUGGAGAAAUGUCACUGCUAGAGAACAGAAGACUAUUAUUCCAAAGGGUAUUUGAGACUGACUGAAUCAGGUCUGGAACAUUAUUGAAAUGAGACCCACAAAAGAAGAGAUACUGAGGUGGUGACCAGAUGGAUAUAAACGGGCUGUGGAAAAAGAGAAUGCAUGGCCAAAAAUGGUGGUGCUCUCUGUCCAAAAACUGAGGCCCUAUGACCAUGAAUGAAGCCAGAGGGCAGGUAGGAAUAGAUCAUUUGCUCCAGAAGAAGCUGGUUGCCAUGUCUUGAGGACAGUAAACCCUCUGGGGAGGUUCCUGUGGUAAGGAACAAGGGCUCCUGGCAAUAGCCUCUGAGUGAGCCACCUUGAAAAUGGAUUGUCCAGCCCCAGUCAAGCUUUCAGAUGACUGUAGCUCCUGCCAAUGUCUUCACCACAACCUCAUGAGAUCCCAAGCUACAACCACUCAGUUAAGUUAUGCCAAAAUUCCUGAUUCACAGAAAUUGACAUACAGGAGAGGUCACAGUUAAGAUCUUGAUGUUCUAUCUUGACCCAUAAUAUAGGAACUUCAUCUUUUGGGAAGCACCAGGGAGAGCUGCCUGUGCCUGGCAGAAGCUGCCCAUGCCCCACUGAUACCCCACAGUACUUCCUGUUCUGCUUAGUACUCCUGCUUCUUUCUACAAACAACUGUGAUUCUCUACCUGGGAGCUUCCUCUGGCCACAGGAGCCUGCUCACCUGAUUGGGACACCCUAGCAGUACUGGCUCAUAGAUGGAAGGGACUUGCCUUGUCGCUGAUGAGACUUUCGACUUGGACUUUUGAGUCAAUGCUGGAAUGAGUUAAGACUUUGGGGAACUGUUGGAAGGGUGUGAUUGUGUUUUGAAUUGUGAGGACAUGAGAUUUUGAAGAGGCUAAUGGCAGCGUCCCCACCUAAAUCUCUUCUUGAAUUGUAGUUCCCAUAAUCCCCACGUGUCGUGGGGUGGAGCCGGUGGAGAUAAUUGAAUCAUGGGAACACUUUCCCCCAUGCUGUUAUUGUGAUUGUGAAUUCUCACGAGAUCUGAUGGUUGUAUAAACGCCUUCCCUCUUCGCUGGGCACUCAUUUUUCUCCUUCCUGCCACCAUGUGAAGAAGGAUAUGCUUGCUUCUUGUGCCAUGAUUACAAGAACACACUCAGAAAUUUUCUCAACACAGUUUCUAUGCAGAGAAGAGAUGUGGGACAGAUUUGAACUGCUGUCAUAUUUGUAUGAACCCAAGACAUUUUCCAAGACCAAGAGGGAUAAAGACAGCAAUUUCUAUGACUGGCAUUUUACGUGCAUGCACUGUUUCCAAGUGUUCUUGUGUUCUGUGCCUUAAACAUUCUGUGUUGCAACUUUAUGAAUUGAAUUAAAGAUAAUCCCAAGCCCCCAAUUGUCUCAAAAAGUGAAAAAGUAAAUGUUAUAGAAAGAAAAGCGGGAAAAACUUUAAGCAUGAAAUAAAAGAUGGGUUGUGAUAAAAGAGGACUGAAGAAGGAAAAGGAAUGAAAGGUUCUGCCAUCCUUCAUGGCAGCCCACUCCACUUGGUAUGAGAUACUGCUCCCUUGGCUGAAAGUUAACUGCUGUACUCCCUCCACUUUCUAUAAAUGACUCCCUGUGCCUUUCCUUCACCACACAACUCACACUCUCUUCCUUCCUAGUGAGUCCACUAAGGCUUCACUGCAUUAUUACAUUUAUUUCAUUUAGGAAAAACUGACUUUAUUUUCCUUCAAAUUGUUUUUUAUUGUUUAUAUGAGCUUGGUUUUAUUGUCAUUCUAUUUUUCUCCAUGAAAAUAGAGAAAAAUAGGGUCGAAAGGUUAGGUUGGGUGGAAAGGAAUUAUAUUUUUUCUCACUAAAAUUGAUGUAAAUAUCGUUUUCAAUUGAAUGAUUUUACACAGUGGCACAGUUUCAGGUAUGUUGCUAAGCAGGAAAGUUGUUAACCAAAGCAUGAAUGUAUUAAGGAGAUGUAUGCAGAAUGACAUGCAAGGUUAUCUAUGAUUGCUGAGUGAGAAAGAGCAAGUUGCUGAGUAUUAUAUAAGUAUGAUCUCACUUUUGUAAAAAAAAAAAAAAAAAAAGGCCUGGACUGAUCUGAAAUGACCCUAUUAAUAACAAUUAUGUCCAGGUCUGUAUUGCAUACUUGUCAUUCAUUACAGGAUCUUGAGACACAAUGCAAAGGAUCACAUCGCAGCUCUGUAACUUGUUAACUAUAAGAUUUUGAGUAACAUAACACCUUACUCCUUAAAAUUGCUUAAAAAAAAUCUGAACAUCAGGAAUAUUCUACUUCACAGGGUCGUUGUGAUAAUUAAAUGUAGUAAUCAAUGACAAUAGUGCCAGAUACAGUAGAUAGCCUACACUUUGCAGCUACUAUUUCUAUCUAUCAUCCAUCUAUUAAUAUAUAUCAUCUAUCUUUAACUUAUCAUCUAUCUUGUUCCAGUUUUUUAAAAUGAACAUGUAUUAACUUUGUAAAAAAUUAAGGCUAUAAGAUGUGCUGAGCUUUUGGAAUAGAUUUUCCUGUAC
ensembl:lncRNA STXBP5-AS1 STXBP5 antisense RNA 1